rnacentral:tRNA from 1 species
AGUAAUAUGUCUGAACAAAGGUAAUAAAUUGUAAAUUUAUUUAUGAAUUUUAAAUAUUCUAUUACUA